rnacentral:rRNA from 1 species
AAAGCAUCUAAGCACGAAACUUGCCCCGAGAUGAGUUCUCCCUGAGAUUUAGAGUCUCCUGAAGGAACGUUGAAGACGACGACGUUGAUAGGCCGGGUGUGUAAGCGCAGCGAUGCGUUGAGCUAACCGGUACUAAUGAACCGUGAGGCUUAACCUUACAACGCCGAAG